rnacentral:piRNA from 1 species
AAAGGUCCCGAGUUCAAA